GUGGACAGCAGGGUCCCAGCGACACCUCCAAUCCCAGACCAUUUCCUCCAGUCAAGGUGCAAGCCUCAGCCUGUUCCUAAGCUUAGAUGUGAGCACUGACUUCGAGUGCAUCUCUCCACUCAUAAACUGAGGGUGAUGAUGUGUUCCCAAGCACACACCCUGGGAAUCUUACCAAGCCCAGGAAGCCUCAUGCCCCUCCAGGAGCUCCCAGAGAGCAAAGGAGCUGUGCUGGAGAAGGGAAGCCCCUGAGCAUGGGGGGAGUGUGAGUAGCUGUCUGGAAGGAACCGAAUUACAAGGUAGGAGAGGGGCAGGGUAGAGUGUCUAGAGAAAC
rnacentral:lncRNA from 1 species